GGUGAGAUAAAAGCUCACCAAGGCGACGAUCUGUAGCGGGUCUGAGAGGAUGAUCCGCCACACUGGAACUGAGACACGGUCCAGACUCCUACGGGAGGCAGCAGUGGGGAAUUUUGGACAAUGGGGGCAACCCUGAUCCAGCCAUGCCGCGUGAGUGAAGAAGGCCUUCGGGUUGUAAAGCUCUUUCAGCCGGGAAGAAAACGCAUGGGUUAAUACCCUGUGUGGAUGACGGUACCGGAAUAAGAAGCACCGGCUAACUACGUGCCAGCAGCCGCGGUAAUACGUAGGGUGCGAGCGUUAAUCGGAAUUACUGGGCGUAAAGCGUGCGCAGGCGGUUUUGUAAGACAGGCGUGAAAUCCCCGGGCUUAACCUGGGAACUGCGUUUGUGACUGCAAGGCUAGAGUACGGCAGAGGGGGGUGGAAUUCCACGUGUAGCAGUGAAAUGCGUAGAGAUGUGGAGGAACACCAAUGGCGAAGUCAGCCCCCUGGGUCGAUACUGACGCUCAUGCACGAAAGCGUGGGUAGCAAACAGGAUUAGAUACCCUGGUAGUCCACGCCCUAAACGAUGUCAACUAGGUGUUGGGAGGGUAAAACCUUUUAGUACCGGAGCUAACGCGUGAAGUUGACCGCCUGGGGAGUACGGCCGCAAGGUUAAAACUCAAAGGAAUUGACGGGGACCCGCACAAGCGGUGGAUGAUGUGGAUUAAUUCGAUGCAACGCGAAAAACCUUACCUACCCUUGACAUGCCAAGAACUUUCCAGAGAUGGAUUGGUGCCCGAAAGGGAACUUGGACACAGGUGCUGCAUGGCUGUCGUCAGCUCGUGUCGUGAGAUGUUGGGUUAAGUCCCGCAACGAGCGCAACCCUUGUCGUUAAUUGCCAUCAUUUAGUUGGGCACUUUAACGAGACUGCCGGUGACAGACCGGAGGAAGGUGGGGAUGACGUCAAGUCCUCAUGGCCCUUAUGGGUAGGGCUUCACACGUCAUACAAUGGUCGGUACAAAGGGUCGCCAAGCCGCGAGGUGGAGCCAAUCCCAGAAAGCCGAUCGUAGUCCGGAUCGCAGUCUGCAACUCGACUGCGUGAAGUCGGAAUCGCUAGUAAUCGUGGAUCAGAAUGUCACGGUGAAUACGUUCCCGGGUCUUGUACACACCGCCCGUCACACCAUGGGAGCGGGUUCCGCCAGAAGUAGGUAGCCUAACCGCAAGGAGGGCGCUUACCACGGCGGGGUUCGUGACUGGGGUGAAGUCGAACAAGGUAGCCGUAGGGGAACCUGCGGCUG
rnacentral:rRNA from 1 species